rnacentral:miRNA from 1 species
AGGUUGGCGCAAAAGUAAUUGCGGUUUUUGCCAUUAAAAGUAAUGGCAGGGAACAAAAUUAUUUUUGCUCUAACCGAAUAAUAGCUCUAGGCUUCAAUCUUCAUCUGUGAAACA